ensembl:lncRNA
GGGCCGUCUGGGAUCCGGCCCUUGAGGGGGGGGCUAUGGGGUGGGUUAUGGGGGGGGCUGAGCUGCCACCGACUGCGGAGGUGUUCCGUGUCCCCGAGCUGGAGCCGACUACGGAGGUGUUCCCUGUCCCCGAGCUGGAGCCGACGGCGACAACCGCGGAGGUGUUCCGUGUCCCCGAGCCGCCGACGGCGACAACCGCGGAGGUGUUCCGUGUCCCCGAGCUGCCGCCGCCGACAACCGCGGAGGUGUUCCGUGUCCCCGAGCUGCCGCCGCCGACAACCGCGGAGGUGUUCCGUGUCCCCGAGCUGCCGCCGCCGACAACCGCGGAGGUGUUCCGUGUCCCCGAGCUGCCGCCGCCGACCCCGGAGGUUUCCCGUGUCCCCGAGCCUGCCAUUCUAGAGACGUUCCGUGCCCUGCAGUCGCCGCUCCGGAGCCGGCUUGGUGACCGCCCGCCGGGCCGACCCCCAGAGUUUCCCGGGUGGUCCGACCAACGUCUCUGGUUUCCCUGCCCCCCCACCCUUUGUUUUGCUCUAGUGUGAGCCGCCUGGAAGUCGGUCCUUGAGGGGGGGGUACUGUCACGGUGUGGUUCACUUCCUGUUUUAUUUUGUAGUUUUCUGCCACUCGUGUCCCCGGGUAACUUCACUUCCUGCCUUGUCUCGUCAUCCCCUGUGUUCGUCUAAUAGUUUCCACCUGUGUUCCAAUCACCUGCACCUCCCUUGUGUAUUUAAGCCAUGUAUCUCCUGUGUCACUUGUCGCGUCAUUGUCUUUCGCCACGCAUGUCCUU